UGAACGCUGGCGGCGUGCUUAACACAUGCAAGUCGAACGGAGUGUGCUUUAUUGAAGCUUCGGCAGAUUUAGCUGCACACUUAGUGGCGGACGGGUGAGUAACGCGUGGGUAACCUGCCUCAUACAGGGGGAUAGCAGCUGGAAACGGCUGAUAAAACCGCAUAAGCGCACACUAUCGCAUGAUAGAGUGUGAAAAACUCCGGUGGUAUGAGAUGGACCCGCGUCUGAUUAGCUUGUUGGUGAGGUAACGGCCCACCAAGGCGACGAUCAGUAGCCGGCCUGAGAGGGUGAACGGCCACAUUGGGACUGAGACACGGCCCAAACUCCUACGGGAGGCAGCAGUGGGGAAUAUUGCACAAUGGGGGAAACCCUGAUGCAGCGACGCCGCGUGAAGGAUGACGUAUUUCGGUAUGUAAACUUCUAUCAGCAGGGAAGAACAAGUGACGGUACCUGACUAAGAAGCCCCGGCUAACUACGUGCCAGCAGCCGC
rnacentral:rRNA from 1 species